rnacentral:rRNA from 1 species
UACAGAGGGUGCAAGCGUUACUCGGAAUUAUUGGGCGUAAAGGGCUUGUAGGCGGUUAUAUAAGUUAGAUGUGAAAACCCUGGGCUUAACCUAGGACGUGCAUAUAAUACUGUAUAGCUAGAGUAUGGUAGAGGAAAGGGGAAUUCCUGGUGUAGCAGUGAAAUGCGUAGAGAUCAGGAGGAACAUCAGUGGCGAAGGCGCCUACCUGGCCUGUUUCUUGACGCUGAGGCGCGAAAGCUAGGGGAGCAAACGGG